AGCGAAGAACGGGACUCGAACCCGUAACAUUAACCAUGGCAAGGUUAUACUCUACCAAAUUGAGUUAUCAUCGC
rnacentral:tRNA from 1 species